ensembl:lncRNA
AUGUGUUCUCACUGUGCACACACACUGCUCAGCUCACUGUGCACACACAUGUGCUCCACUCACUGUACACUCACGUGUUCCACUCACUGUGUACACACAUGUGUUCUCACUGUGCACACACACUGCUCAGCUCACUGUGCACACACAUGUGCUCCACUCACUGUACACUCACGUGCUCCACUCACUGUGUACACACAUGUGUUCUCACUGUGCAUACACACUGCUCAGCUCACUGUGCACACACAUGUGCUCCACUCACUGUGCACUCACGUGCUCCACUCACUGUGUACACACAUGUGUUCUCACUGUGCAUACACACUGCUCAGCUCACUGUGCACACACAUGUGCUCCACUCACUGUACACUCACGUGCUCCACUCACUGUGUACACACAUGUGUUCUCACUGUGCAUACACACUGCUCAGCUCACUGUGCACACACAUGUGCUCCACUCACUGUACACUCACGUGCUCCACUCACUGUGUACACACAUGUGUUCUCACUGUGCACACAGUGCUCAGCUCACUGUGCACACACAUGUGCUCCACUCACUGUACACUCACGUGUUCCACUCACUGUGUACACACAUGUGUUCUCACUGUGCACACACACUGCUCAGCUCACUGUGCACACACAUGUGCUCCACUCACUGUACACUCACGUGCUCCACUCACUGUGUGCACACAUGUGUUCUCACUGUGCACACAGUGCUCAGCUCACUGUGCACACACAUGUGCUCCACUCACUGUACACUCACGUGCUCCACUCACUGUGUGCACACAUGUGUUCUCACUGUGCACACAGUGCUCAGCUCACUGUGCACACACAUGUGCUCCACUCACUGUACACUCACGUGCUCCACUCACUGUGUACACACAUGUGUUCUCACUGUGCACACAGUGCUCAGCUCACUGUGCACACACAUGUGCUCCACUCACAGUACACUCACGUGCUCCACUCACUGUGUGCACACAUGUGUUCUCACUGUGCACACAGUGCUCAGCUCACUGUGCACACACAUGUGCUCCACUCACUGUACACUCACGUGCUCCACUCACUGUGUACACACAUGUGUUCUCACUGUGCACACAGUGCUCAGCUCACUGUGCACACACAUGUGCUCCAUUCACUGUACGCUCAUGUGUUCCACUCACUGUGCACACUCACAUGCUCCACUCACUGUGUACCCACAUAUGUUCCACUCACUGCACACUCACAUGCUCCGCUCACUGUGCACACUCACGUGUUCUACUCACUGUGCAUACACAUGUGCUCCACUCACUGUGCACACUCACAUGCUCCGCUCACUGUGCACACUCACAUGUUCUACUCACUGUGCACACACAUGUGCUCCACUCACUGUGUACCCACACAUGUUACACUCACUGUGCACACUCACAUGCUCCACUCACUGUGCACACAAAGUGCUCCGCUCACUGUGCACACUCACAUGUUACACUCACUGUGCACACUUAUAUGCUCUUCUCACUGCACACUCACAUGCUCCACUCACUGUGCACACACAGUGCUCCACUCACUGUGUACCCACAAUGCUCUGUUCACUAUUCACACUCACGUGUUCCACUCACUGUGCACACACAGUGCUCUUCUCACUGCACACUCAUGUGCUCUGCUCACUGUGUACCCACACGUGUUCCACUCACUAUGCACACUCACGUGCUCCACUCACUGUGCACACACAAUGCUCUGUUCACUAUUCACACUCACGUGUUCUGCUCACUGUGUACACUCACAUGCUCUGCUCACUGUGUACCCACACAUGUUACACUCACUGUGCACACUCACAAGCUCCACUCACUGUGCACACUCACAUGCUCCACUCAGUGUAUACACACGUGUUCCACUCACUGUGCACACACACAUGCUCUUCUCACUGUGCACACUCACAUGCUCCACUCACUGUGCACACACAGUGCUGUGUUCACUGUGUACCCACACAUGUCUAGGCAUUGUGCACACUCACAAGCUCCACUCACUGUGCACACACAGUGCUGUGUUCACUGUGUACCCACACAUGUCUACGCAUUGUGUACACUCACAUGCUCCACUCACUGUGCACACACAGUGCUGUGUUCACUGUGUACCCAUACAUGUUACACUCACUGUGCACACUCACAUGCUCCACUCACUGUGCACACACAGUGCUGUGUUCACUGUGUACCCACACAUGUCUACGCAUUGUGCAUACUCACAUGCUCCACUCACUGUGCACACAGUGCUCUGCCCACUGUUCACAUUCAUGUGCUCUGCUCACUGUGUACCCACACAAGUUACACUCACUGUGUACAUUCACAUGCUCUCCUCUGUACGCUCUCGUCUCUGUGUACUCGUGUGUGUGCACUCUCAUGCUCCUUUACGUGCUCUACUCACAUGUGGACAUGGUUUCCCGAGCACCAUGCCUUGGGUAUGUGAAUGUGUGAAGAACUCCACAUGUAUGAUUUGA